GAGAGGGGACAAUGGAAAGCCUGUGUAAGCGGAUGUUAUCCAAACAAAAGGAAGAAACUUCCCAGCCCUCAAGGACACCCAUUGUCGGGUGGUAACGGGACUCAGACCAUCACAGCAGCCGGAGACCCAGUCUGAAAGUGUGGAAUGUACAGGCUCCUGUUCCUGCUGGCGUCUGGGUGAUGCCUUUCAACCAAGGUAGAAAUUAAGUGACAUCUAAGUGAAGAUGUGGUUCAUGUUGCGCUGGGUCUGGAGAGAGGACUGGGGGGCAGGUGAAGGAGCAGAGAAGGUAUGGAAGCGAGUGAACUCGGCACCCUGCUCUUUCCGGGAAGACAUGGGGCUGUUUGCAGGACUCAGAGAACUUCCUCCACAGUGCGGUCAGCGUGCUUAUGAACCAAGCAGAGAAGCACUGGUAACCAUUUACUGGGAGAAGCUCAGCCAAGGGAAGAGUGGUGCCCUGAAGCCACUCUGGCCUCCCCCUGGGGAUGUGGACACCCAGGGGCAGGAGGAUGAAAGAGGAUGGACACGAAGAUCUGGAUGGUUCAAGAGCCAGCAGAAGGGAGCCCAGCACCACAGUGUCCCCCACCCCCCCCACCAGACCCUUUGCCUGAUGCUGGGGGCCAGCGGUAGGCGGGCUCCUCUCUGGGCUCGCCCACCAUUUCCUGGGACCUCUUUGCUUUCCUGAGACAAGUGCAGGCUCAUCUUGUUUGGGCUGCAGGGCUCCGGAUCCUGGGGGUCUCACCGUCUGCAGUGCUGGACACACCCAGGCAGGAGUUCGGAUCCACCAGCUGCCCACGGAACAGUGGGGUUUCAGGCCUCCAGGGGAGCCUGUCCCAGAGGACAAGGUGCAUUUUGGUUUCUGAAGAGCCACCCAAGUGUGAGAUUCUCUGUCAUUUUAUUUGCCAAUUUGCUGAGCUUUCAAGAUGACAUAUUCCCCGGCGAC